CCUACGGUGGGCAGCAGUGGGGAAUAUUGGACAAUGGGCGAAAGCCUGAUCCAGCCAUGCCGCGUGUGUGAAGAAGGCCUUCGGGUUGUAAAGCACUUUCAGUGGGGAAGAAAGCCUUGGGGCUAAUACCCUCGAGGAAGGACAUCACCCACAGAAGAAGCACCGGCUAACUCCGUGCCAGCAGCCGCGGUAAUACGGAGGGUGCGAGCGUUAAUCGGAAUUACUGGGCGUAAAGCGCGCGUAGGCGGUCUGAUAAGCCGGUUGUGAAAGCCCCGGGCUCAACCUGGGAACGGCAUCCGGAACUGUCAGGCUAGAGUGCAGGAGAGGAAGGUAGAAUUCCCGGUGUAGCGGUGAAAUGCGUAGAGAUCGGGAGGAAUACCAGUGGCGAAGGCGGCCUUCUGGACUGACACUGACGCUGUGGUGCGAAAGCGUGGGUAGCAAACAGGAUUAGAUACCCCAGUAGUC
rnacentral:rRNA from 1 species